rnacentral:rRNA from 1 species
UACGUAGGUGGCAAGCGUUGUCCGGAAUCACUGGGCGUAAAGCGCGCGCAGGCGGUCAUCUACGUCUGGGGUGAAAGCCCGGAGCUCAACUCCGGGAUUGCCUUGGAUACGGGAUGACUUGAGGAUCGGAGAGGCAAGGGGAAUUCCACGUGUAGCGGUGAAAUGCGUAGAGAUGUGGAGGAACACCUGUGGCGAAGGCGCCUUGCUGGCCGAUUUCUGACGCUGAGGCGCGAAAGCGUGGGGAGCAAACAGG